CGGAGGGCCUCUGGGCAGUGGGCACAGGCCGCGGAUGGGCCUCUGGGCCACGAAGAGCCUCUGGGGAGCGGAGAGUGGAAGGGAGGGGGAGAGAUAGAAAGAAACCAAUGGGUUGCCUCCCCAAUGCAGCCCUAGGGGAUCGAGCCUGCAACCAAGAAGUUAAUCCCCACCCCUGAUGAGGCUGAAUUCCCAUCUCCGAGGCUGAAUGCAAAUCUGUGCUCUUCCUCUGCGUUGGCUCAGAGAAGAGGGUGAGCAGGUCAUCCAUAUGGGACACAGAGCUCCCACUUCCUGCAGCACUGUAGUUUGGGGCCUAAUUGAUUCUGGUAAUUAAUUUGUUUUACCUGCUGGAUCAGAUGAAAAUUCUACCCAGGCGCCCAAGGAUUAGCACUUGGCUU